rnacentral:rRNA from 1 species
UACGGAGGAUCCAAGCGUUAUCCGGAAUCAUUGGGCUUAAAGGGUCCGUAGGCGGUUUUAUAAGUCAGUGGUGAAAUCUGGUCGCUCAACGAUCAAACGGCCAUUGAUACUGUAGAACUUGAAUUACUUGGAAGUAACUAGAAUAUGUAGUGUAGCGGUGAAAUGCUUAGAGAUUACAUGGAAUACCAAUUGCGAAGGCAGGUUACUACGAGUAUAUUGACGCUGAUGGACGAAAGCGUGGGGAGCGAACAGG